rnacentral:rRNA from 1 species
AGUGAACGCUGGCGGUAGGCCUAGCACAUGCAAGUCGAACGGCAGCACAGUAAGAGCUUGCUCUUACGGGUGGCGAGUGGCGGACGGGUGAGGAAUACAUCGGAAUCUACUUUUUCGUGGGGGAUAACGUAGGGAAACUUACGCUAAUACCGCAUACGACCUACGGGUGGAAGCAGGGGAUCUUCGGACCUUGCGCGAUUGAAUGAGCCGAUGUCGGAUUAGCUAGUUGGCGGGGUAAAGGCCCACCAAGGCGACGAUCCGUAGCUGGUCUGAGAGGAUGAUCAGCCACACUGGAACUGAGACACGGUCCAGACUCCUACGGGAGGCAGCAGUGGGGAAUAUUGGACAAUGGGCGCAAGCCUGAUCCAGCCAUACCGCGUGGGUGAAGAAGGCCUUCGGGUUGUAAAGCCCUUUUGUUGGGAAAGAAAAGCAGCAGGUUAAUACCCCGCUGUUCUGACGGUACCCAAAGAAUAAGCACCGGCUAACUUCGUG